rnacentral:misc_RNA from 1 species
AACAGAACCCCCAAGCGUUACCCGGACUUAUUGGGCGUAAAGCGUCUGUAGCCGGUUUGGCAAGGCGUAGGUUAAAUACUGAGAGCUCAACUUUCAGGAUGCCUGCGAAACUGCCAGACUAGAGGGCGUUAGGGGCUGAUGGAACGCACGGUGGAGGGGUGAAAUCCGUUGAUAUCGUGCGGAACACCAAAAGCGAAGGCAUUCAGCUGGGGCGACCCUGACGGUGAGAGACGAAAGCGUGGGGAGCGAAAAGG